AUAGUUUACGUUAAAGAAAAGACCUCAACCUUAUCGAAGAUAAUAUAAUAUAUACUGUAAAUAUACAUAAAAUAUAAGUAUAUUACGGUUAACGAUAUCGAAACGAGACCGUGACUGACUGACUAAGGGUACAGAGCGCCAAGCACGAAUAACUAUCGCAUUCGUAAUGUAAACGUAUCGAGAUGACGAUACGUCAUGAGACAUUAACGGAGUGUGGCAGCACGAAGCCUAUUCUUUCAACUAUCGAGAGCUCGCAUCAAAUUCGAUAGUGACGUCAUGCUAAUGUAAACUAGAGAAGCAGCCAAGUGAACGAUUUGAAUGACUUAUUGAGCAUAAAGAUUUCGUCUGAAAACUAAAUUAAAUUUAUAUAUAUAUUUCAACCUUUGUCUACACGUUUUAUGAAAUAAUAUUUAUUAAAUAAAUAUUAAUUAUGUGCAAAAAGUUCUUAAAGCGAGUUAAGAGAAAUAUAACGUGACAUUAUCUAUGAAAAAAAAAGUACUUAGUUUCAUAAAUUUAUAAAUUUUUUUAUGAUUUCCGAACGUCGUAUUUGACAUCACCGCCGACAUUUGUCAUUUGCCGGUUGUUUGUUUGUUAUUUUAUCUUAUGUAAAUAAAUAACAAUUUUAACAUGUUACAUUUAAAAUGAGGACGAUUCAACUCCAAUAUGAGCUAAUGGUGGAAUUUAUGCAAAAAUUGGAAUAUUUGUGGGACCAGUCCAAUAUUACUGGGAGCAGUGGGCCUACUGUAUUCCUACCACACCACUCACUGUUCCUCACGAAGCCUACCCUUCGCCAGCGCCUCCACCAACACCACCGAUCCUCCAUCCGAGGAAGAUAGCUGGAAUCCUCCACCAGUGAAAAAACCUAAAGCGAGUUUGAUUAAAAUGUGUAUAGAGAAUGACAAGAAUGCUAUGCUAAGGAGCAUGAGAAAAGUUAUUAUUUUUUAUUAGUUGAUUAUUUUUUGUUACUUACUGUUAAUUUUAUAUUUAUUUCAAUUUUUCUGUUUUUAUGUUAUUUUAAAAUAUUAUCAAAAUAUUGUUAAUGGCAUUGUAUUUAUAAUAAUUAUUCUAACGGUGUCAAUACUGUGAAUGUGGUGCAUGUCUAUAAUUGGCAUAACCACAUGAUCUUGUGUCUUCAUCUUGUUUUUCAUUAAUGUCUUAUAAUAAUAAAUAAAUAAAUUAUA